rnacentral:rRNA from 1 species
UACAGAGGUCUCAAGCGUUGUUCGGAUUCAUUGGGCGUAAAGGGUGCGUAGGUGGGCAGGUAAGUCAGUGGUGAAAUCUCCGGGCUUAACCCGGAAACUGCCGUUGAUACUAUCUGUCUUGAAUACCGUGGAGGUGAGCGGAAUAUGUCAUGUAGCGGUGAAAUGCUUAGAUAUGACAUAGAACACCAAUUGCGAAGGCAGCUCACUACACGAAUAUUGACACUGAGGCACGAAAGCGUGGGGAUCAAACAGG